GGGUAGCCUAAGUGGUUAGGGCAUCUGCCUCGGAUGCGAGAGGUAUAUGGUUCGAGCCCAGGCCGUCUCA